rnacentral:rRNA from 1 species
AAGUCGUAACAAGGUCUCCGUUGGUGAACCAGCGGAGGGAUCAUUACAGAGUUUCAUACUCCAAACCCUUUGUGAACAUACCUGUUUCCGUUGCUUCGGCAGGUCGGGGGUCACCCCCCGCCCGCCGCCGGGCCCCCCUCGCGGGGUCGCCCGGCGGGCCUGCCGGAGGGCACAAGACUCUGUAUUUCAAAACUACCUCUCUGAGUUAUCUUUACAAAUAAGUAAAAACUUUCAACAACGGAUCUCUUGGUUCUGGCAUCGAUGAAGAACGCAGCGAAAUGCGAUAAGUAAUGUGAAUUGCAGAAUUCAGUGAAUCAUCGAAUCUUUGAACGCACAUUGCGCCCAUUAGUAUUCUAGUGGGCAUGCCUGUUCGAGCGUCAUUUCAACCCUCAAGCCCUAGCUGCUUGGUAUUGGGAGCUUGUCUGCGGACAACUCCUCAAAAGCAUUGGCGGAGUCGCGGUGACCCCAAGCGUAGUAAUUCUUCUCGCUUAGGUGUGUUAACGCUGGCGUUCAGCCACUAAACCCCCUAUUUUCUAGUGGUUGACCUCGGAUCAGGUAGGAAUACCCGCUGAACUUAA